UUGGAGGGCAAGUCUGGUGCCAGCGGCCGCGGUAAUUCCAGCUUCAAUAGCGUAUAUUAAAGUUGUUGCAGUUAAAAAGCUCGUAGUUGAAUUUCGGGAUCAGAGUGUCGGUCGUGCCUCGGUACGCACUGGUAUUAUUGGUUCCUACCUUCUGAAGAACCGCGAUGUCAUUAAUUUGGUGUCGUGGGGAAUCAGGACUGUUACUUUGAAAAAAUUAGAGUGUUUAAAGCAGGCUUACGCUUGAAUACAUUAGCAUGGAAUAGUGAAAUAGGACGUUUGAUUCUAUUUUGUUGGUUUCUAGGAUUGACGUAAUGAUUACUAGGGAUAGUUGGGGGCAUUAGUAUUCAAUUGCCAGAGGUGAAAUUCUUGGAUUUAUUGAAGACUAACUACUGCGAAAGCAUUUGCCAAGGACGUUUUCAUUAAUCAAGAACGAAAGUUAGGGGAUCGAAGACGAUCAGAUACCGUCGUAGUCUUAACCAUAAACUAUGCCGACUAGGGAUCGGAUGAUGUUAAUUUUUUAAUGACUCAUUCGGCGCCUUACGGGAAACCAAAGUGUUUGGGUUC
rnacentral:rRNA from 1 species